AGUAAACAAAAAUGUUAGCUUCUCAAAUUAGAUGGUGAUUAAGUAAUACAAAUAUUCAAAAUUCAACAUGAACCGCUGGCCAUGCCGUUUGGUUCACGAUCUCCUCUUCAUAAGCUAUCUCCAUAUGCGGGUACAAGGUUCCUCUAGGAAGGGCAGCCACUGUCUCUUCUUUUGCUCCGUCCAACAGCUAGCAUGUCUUCACAACGUCAUCGUCGGACGGGGCUUAUGAUCUCCUCGCUGGUAUGCUCUUCUUUUCGUGAUGGGAGGCAGCUUAGAGGCGGAAUAAGCACCUUGGCGUUGGGAUUGUUCAACACAUGGAUCGUUUGCCGAUCCGGUGCGCUUUGGACGAAGACGGUAGGAUGGCGGCUCUAUUAAGGUCAAGUAAAGGGAUCUGCAUGGUAGAGGUGAAGGCUUAUGGUUGAGUUGCAGCGGCUUCUUCAUGGUGGUGUGGGUACUGUGUUCAUCUCUCUUAGCUAGGGGGAAGGGCGGUGGUUCCUUGUGCUUCCGGAUUGGGUCGGACGUGGUAUGCAAGCGACGGUGUAUGGCGGCUGCUGGUUGGGUUUAUGUUCAUGAGGGUGGUGUGUUGGGCCUCAAGUUGGGCUUGCAUGUUGCUAGGCUAGGGGGCUGGGCUUGACUUGUUAGGGCUCAAUCUUUUAGGGUUUUUUAAUCUAGUAUUAUUUAGGUUUUAAGCUAGCACUGUUAUCUAGGGUUGCCUCCUAAGAUUUCAAGAAUUAAAUUAAGACUAGUGCUUGGUAUCGUUCUGGGACUUUCUCUAGUAGUGUCAGGUUACUGGCUUUGGUAUUAAUCUUAUGAUGAUGUUGCAUUUUAGAUUGCCAUAGUUAUAAAUUUGAUUUUUGCCACAGGGCUCUCUAAA